rnacentral:tRNA from 1 species
UAGAAGGUAGUAUAAUGGUAGUACGCGAAGUUUUGAGCUUUGUAGUGUAGGUUCGAUAGCCUAUUUUUCUA